ensembl:snRNA Gm23238 predicted gene, 23238
AUACUUACUUACCUGGCAGGGGAGAUUCCAUGAUCACGAAGGUGGUUUUCCCAGGGCGAGCCUUAUCCAUUGCACUCCGGAUGUGCUGACCCCUGCGAUUUCCCCAAAUGCGGGAAACUCGACUGCAUAAUUUGUGGUAGUGGGGGACUGCGUUCGUGCUCUCACCUG